rnacentral:rRNA from 1 species
GGGCACGAAACUAGGUGCUGCAUGGUGUCGUCAGCUCGUGCCGUGAGGUGUCGGCUUAAGUGCCAUAACGAGCGCAACCCUUGUCGUUAGUUGCCAGCGGGUAAUGCCGGGAACUCUAGCGAGACUGCUACUGUAAGGUAGAGGAAGGUGGGGAUGACGUCAAAUCAGCACGGCCCUUACGUCCGGGGCGACACACGUGUUACAAUGGUAGGUACAGAGGGUUGCUACUUGGCGACAAGAUGCUAAUCUCAUAAAACCUAUCUCAGUUCGGAUCGGAGUCUGCAACUCGACUCCGUGAAGCUGGAUUCGCUAGUAAUCGCGCAUCAGCCAUGGCGCGGUGAACACGUUCCCGGGCCUUGUACACACCGCCCGUCAAGCCAUGGAAGCUGGGGGUACCUGAAGUCCGUGCCCGCAAGGAGCGGCCUAGGGUAAAACUGGUAACUGGGGCUAAGUCGUAACAAGGUAACCUA